rnacentral:rRNA from 1 species
AGCAGCCGCGGUAAUUCCAGCUCCAAUAGCGUAUAUUAAAGUUGCUGCAGUUAAAAAGCUCGUAGUUGAAUUUCGGGGUCAAUAUGUUGGUCGUGCCUUGGUACGUACUAGCUUAUUGAUUUCUCCUUCUGACGAACCAUGAUGUCAUUAAUUUGGUGUCAUGGGGAAUCAGGACUGUUACUUUGAAAAAAUUAGAGUGUUUAAAGCAGGCUCGCGCUUGAAUACAUUAGCAUGGAAUAAUGAAAUAGGACAUUUGAUUCUAUUUUGUUGGUUUCUAGGAUCGAUGUAAUGAUUAAUAGGGAUAGUUGGGGGCAUUAGUAUUCAAUUGUCAGAGGUGAAAUUCUUGGAUUUAUUGAAGACUAACUACUGCGAAAGCAUUUGCCAAGGAUGUUUUCAUUAAUCAAAAUCGAAAGUUAGGGGAUCGAAGACGAUCAGAUACCGUCGUAGUCUUAACCAUAAACUAUGCCGACUAGGGAUCGGAUGAUGUUAAUUUUUUAAUGACUCAUUCAGCGCCUUACGG